ncrna:unclassified sequences GP20-b RNA
GGCUAUCCGCAAGCCUAAAAGUGCGGGGCGGUUGGUCACGGCAACGACCUAAAAAGCCUA